UGAGGAGCGCCUCGAAGCCUCCCACCUCCUCUCCAGAAACCCUCUCCAUCUCCCUCCCCAUGGUUGUCAAUUUGUAGCCGGAGUCCCAAGUCCGUCGCAGCUUCCGACGAAGUUUCAGUCACAUAUGCCGGAGCUCACGAACGGCGACGAGUACAUCCAAGCGGAAACUCCGGCGAACUCCAGCGGUUCACACGGCUUCCCGAGGACGAAUUGGUCGUCAACAACGACAUCACCUUCAUCACCGCGUCCGCGUGGUGUAUUUCACCGUCCGCCUUUCCUACUCGGCGGAGCACGCCCGACCGGACCUCCUUCCCCGAUAUAUCGUAACGAGAAGGAGAGACGACUCAAUAUAAUAUUUCAUCUUCAUCAAUAGUACAAGG